AGCAGGCCUGUCAGGGCGUUG
rnacentral:miRNA from 1 species